CAGAUAGUAAUUUAAAUAUAAAAUACCGACCUUGGGUGUCAACAAUCGCUCUAGCGCUAUCUGA
rnacentral:tRNA from 1 species